UGGCUCAGAGCGAACGCUGGCGGCAGGCUUAACACAUGCAAGUCGAGCGCCGUAGCAAUACGGAGCGGCAGACGGGUGAGUAACGCGUGGGAACGUACCUUCUGGUUCGGAAUAACUCAGGGAAACUUGAGCUAAUACCGGAUAAGCCCUUCGGGGGAAAGAUUUAUCGCCGGAAGAUCGGCCCGCGUAAGAUUAGCUAGUUGGUGAGGUAAUGGCUCACCAAGGCUACGAUCUUUAGCUGGUCUGAGAGGAUGAUCAGCCACAUUGGGACUGAGACACGGCCCAAACUCCUACGGGAGGCAGCAGUGGGGAAUAUUGGACAAUGGGCGCAAGCCUGAUCCAGCCAUGCCGCGUGAGUGAUGAAGGCCUUAGGGUUGUAAAGCUCUUUUAGCAGGGACGAUAAUGACGGUACCUGCAGAAAAAGCCCCGGCCAACUUCGUG
rnacentral:rRNA from 1 species